UUCACGCGAGGCUACGUCGGCCGAGGCGUCCGUAACCGUAGCCGUGUUUACGAACAAUUUAAAUUUUCGGAGUGACUGCUACGAUGGGCACUUCCCGAAGCGUGGCGAGGCCUACGAAUGUGCUCAGUGCUACGCGUGUAUGUGCUGCACAUAUGUGAAUGUGUCUGUUCCGUUCAUUGUAUGGGUGCUGGGUUCGUCGGCCGACGUGCUCCAUCAAUGAUGCCAUCAGUGAUGAAAUAUAAGCUCAAAUGAGGCGAUCAAACCUUGAAGAUGAACAGGCCGGGCUACGAUUAUGCCGCGCCUGCUUCCACCACGUAUUACGCGGCCAGUAACCGGCCGCCACAGUACGAGCGCGGCUACGGCCCGCUCACUGCCGCUGGCCCCGUUUACAGCCCCUCUUCCCACCCGCUAGCUAAUUACGCCGAUGUGUACGAAGGCAAUAACGACACCACUCUCCGAGCCGAAGAACGGCACUGGUACAUAGAAAACCACAAAAAUAUUCAAUCUAGUUACGACGUCAGCCACGACGCAAUACCUCAAGAUGCCAAAAUUAAAAAAGAAGAAGAGAAAAAAGCUGAUGUGCCUAUACGAAGGGCUGACGCGACAGUGCCGAGGCAGAGAAGAAAAGAGGAUCGAUGUUCCUGUGAAUGCUGGCCUAGUACCGACAAUAAUGUGGUUCAAGAUAUUGCAGGAAAUGAGACAACGAGGUCUCUGUCCGGAGUCGAUAUGGUAGCCUCGUAUGGGGUGUACGGAAACCCCCAGGAUGAUGAUAGUUCGGGAUUUGCUCGACUUUCAGAAAAAAAUGCGAUGUAUGGACAAGGGAGCGAUGCUCCAGUGCAAGGGGUGAUAGUGAACCAGCAAGGGAACAGUGCCGUAGUCAGGACUACAGCCCCCGCCGAGUCGGGCUGUAGUAAGUGUUGUGGACUGUCGUCUAGUGCUCCCGCGGCCAAUUCAGAGGACUAUUGUUGGAUCCACUACUGCAGACCUGCACUCAUAGUUCUGCUGCUGCUGUUUUUUCUAGUCUUGUUGGGAGUAUCAACAGGGUUCUUUUUGACGAAUAAUUAUUUACACUAUCAACCUAGACCACCCGUCCCUGAGGAGGCAUGCGAGAAGACGUUCUGUCGAUGGGGGGCAGAAUGCGUGUCGCUGGGGGAUGGGCGGGCCCACUGUGCGUGCCCCACCUCCUGCCCCGCGUCCCCCGCGGCCGUCUGCUCCACCGCAGGCCGCACGUAUCGCAACCAUUGCUACUUGCGCAAAGAAGCGUGCGAAAGACGGCUCAAUCUACGCGUCAAACAUGAAGGUGAAUGCGCGGGCGACCCCUGCACUGGCGUGACAUGUCCCACUGGCGCGCGAUGUGUGGUUACCAACAACCAGCCAGAAUGUAGAUGUGCCAGGAGUUGCCAGAGAAGGAAACCAGUGUGCGGAACCGACGGCAAGGAGUAUCCCUCGGUUUGCCAUCUUGACAAACAUGCGUGCGAAAAUCAACUCAACAUCACUGUGAAGUACCACGGGAAAUGCGAUCCUUGUUCCGAACACGAAUGCGCUGAUGGUAGCGUUUGUCAAUUAAACGAGCUGCGUCAGCCGGCCUGCCGGUGCGGGCCACCGUGCGACCUCGUCGUCCGGCCCGGGUCUGCCGUGUGCGGCUCCGACUACCGGGACUAUCCUAGCGAAUGCGCGCUAAGACGGGAAUCCUGCCGGACGCGGCAACAGCUCACUAUCGCUUACAGAGGAGAGUGCGCCUCAGCUCAACAUCCGUGCGAGUCCGUAAAAUGUGGUCUCCGCGAACACUGUUCACUGGACGCGCGUGGUGUCGCCGUGUGCGGCUGCGGUUCUGACUGUGAGUCGGUUGUCCGGCCCGUGUGCGGAUCGGACGGCAAAACGUACGAGAGCCCUUGCUUGCUGGAACGAGCUUCUUGUAUGGAGAACCGAGAUAUACGCGUGGCGUACAUGGGGACGUGUGGCGUAGAAAAUCCGUGUGCCCGCGCAUCUUGUCCUUGGGGCGGAGCGUGCGUGUCCCGCGUCGGGACUGCGCAGUGCGCAUGUCCCGUGUGUCCCCCUGCGCUUGCGCCGGUCUGCGCCUCAGAUCACAACACGUACGGUAGCGAGUGCAAGAUGAGGAUGCACGCCUGCCAAGAAGGCAUCAAGGAAGGGGAACUACGGGUGCUGUAUAAUGGAACUUGUCAGUCAUGCGCGGACAUCGUGUGCCGAGGCGGCGGCGACUGCACCAUGGACGCCGACACCGGCCGUCCAGUGUGUAGAUGCAACCACAAUUGCACUGCGUCGCAGGAAUCGGACGUGGUAUGCGGGACCGACGGCCAAACGUACCCCUCGCAAUGUGAACUGGAUUCAAUGGCAUGUCGGGAACAAAGUGACCUCAAGAUUACUUACAGGGGCGAUUGCUCUCUAUGCGAAGGCGUUCAAUGCUCUUUUGGAGCUCAUUGUUCGGCUGGAGAGUGCGUGUGUCCCACUGACUGUACUGGCGCAGCUCGUGAACCGGUGUGUGGCAGCACCAUGCAGACAUUUCCCAACGAAUGUGAACUACAGAAAGCCGCUUGUAAAUUACCACCACCUGCCACACUACAUGUAAUCUUCUACGGAGACUGCAAGGACAGAUUGGCCGUUGUACCACCAAUCGCAAUGACAACGACAGCGAUGACCACGACGGAGGCAGAGGAAGAGUCGACUGAUUCUUUGGGGGCCACGGAUGAUAGUGUGACGACCAGCCCAUCAGCAUGCCGCGACAUCAGAUGUGAUUUCGGAGCGAGUUGCGAGAUCGGAGCCGAUGGGUAUCCACGAUGUUCCUGUCUUUUUGACUGUCCACAUGAACUUGAAUACUUCCCGGUCUGUGCAUCAGACUUUAGGCUGUAUUCCAGUUUAUGUGCUAUGCGCAAAGAAGGAUGCCAAAAACAACUUGAACUUCGGCUUCGUCCUUUGGAUCUUUGUAAAGGUAUGGAAGUAAGGCCAUGUGGUAAUAAUAAAGCUAUGAUUGAUCCGACUACUGGUCUUGAAAUUGACUGCGGCAAUGGACCUCAUCGUCAGGAUUGUCCGAUUGGAAGCUAUUGUCAUAUAACGCUUACAGCUGCCAGAUGCUGUCCUAAAAACGAUUCACGGAUAGAUGAGAAGAAACUUGAGCACUGUGAGGUUAGCGCGUUCGGAUGUUGCCCUGACGGGUCGACAGCGGCGACAGGACCCAAUGAGGAGGGUUGCCCAAUCACAAGCUCGACUUGCGGUUGCAAUAGAUUGGGGUCCGUGUCAGAUCGCUGUGACGAAAAUGGGCAAUGCGCUUGUCGGCCGGGCGUCGGCGGGCUGAAAUGCGACCGCUGCGAGCCCGGAUAUUGGGGGCUGCCGAGGAUCGGCUCGGGGCACACUGGCUGUAUUCCUUGCGGCUGCUCAGCCUUUGGUUCAGUGCGAGAGGACUGUGAACAAAUGACGGGCCGUUGUGUGUGUCGCACUGGAGUCCAGGGACAGAAGUGUACCGUGUGCGCUGACCAUCGCCGCAGACUCGGACCCAAUGGGUGUGCUGACCCUGAAAGCGGUAGCGUGGUGGCUUCGUGCACUGAUCUGUCCUGCUAUUUCGGAGCAGUGUGCACUGAGCGCACGGGCGGAGCCCUGUGCGAGUGUGCGGCUGCGCCCUGCCCUGAUAGCGAUAGUAACAUGCUGGUCUGCGGCAGCGACGGCAAGACUUACGAGUCGGAAUGCCACCUAAAGUUGCAAGCGUGUCGCACGCAAGAGGACAUAGUAGUACAAGCGUUUGGCCCUUGCAAACUGGGCGAACUGGCUGGAACAGCUGGCCCUCCCAGACCCUCCUCCCCCAUUCAAUUCACUCAACAAGAUGACGGCGCAGCUUCCAAGUCAACGAGGCACCUUCUCAAUCCAGAUAAAUAUUACAAUAAAUACGAAUGGACGAGGAAAGAAACGCCAAGUGAUUUUGAUGGAAUUUUGUCAGGACAAAAGUUUAGAAGCUCCCAAACUGCAACUACAGCAACAGUAGGCGCUGUAGGAGCCUUACUAGGAGAUCUGUGCGCUGACAAUAAUGACUGCGCAGCAUUGCCCGGAGCGCAUUGUGCGCGUGGGGGAUGCGAAUGUAGACCAGGAUUCGCACCCACUGUGCAUAGGAAAGCUUGUAUUGAACAAUCAACUCAAGAGACAACUGAAGAAUACAGUGCAUGUUUGUCAGAGCCAUGUUUUAACAUGGGCACUUGCGUCGACUUACCAGGCUCGACGUACACUUGUAUGUGCGCUGGGCCUUAUACCGGACUGAAUUGCGAAGCCCUCAUAAAAGACGGACUGGGGUCGUACAUCGAAACGCCUUUCUUUGACGGCUCAUCGUAUAUUCGACUGAAACCAUUGAAGGCUUACCAUAAGCUAAACAUCGACAUAGAGUUCAAAGCCUUCUCCGAGAACGGAGUAAUAUUGUACAAUCAGCAGAAACUCGAUGGCACUGGUGAUUUUGUUUCACUUGCUUUGGUUAACGGAUAUUUAGAGUUUAGGUAUAACCUUGGGAAUGGAAUGAUAAUUCUGACGUCCUUCGAAAAGAUAACCUUGAAUGAAUAUCACAAAGUGUCAGCAAAGCGUUACAACCGUGAUGGUAUUCUAUCGGUCGAUAACAUGGAGGACGUGGUGGGACAAUCCAGUGGCCAUUUGAAGGCUUUAGACCUUGCCGAGGAUGCUUACAUAGGCAGUGUACCUACAAACUACUCCAGGGUUUUCGAUAAUAUCGGCACUCGAAGCGGAUUUAUUGGGUGCGUGAAGUAUUUGAGGAUAAUACGUCAUCAAGUGACAAAGAAAUUGGGCCGGCCGGACUCAUUAGUAGUUUCUAUAGAAAACGUUCGCGAGUGCCAAUCCAACCCGUGUAUGAGUAUGCCGUGCAAGAACGGAGCUUCGUGUAGCUCUGUUGAAGGAUCGCUGACCGAAUACACUUGUAUCUGCCCUAUCGGUUUUCAAGGAGGCAAUUGUGACGAUAGAUUAGAUCCAUGCGAGUCGAAUCCCUGUGGAUAUGAUGAGGGGCUAUUGUGUGACAUCGGAUCUGAUGGCGGACAUGUCUGCCGCUGUUUGUUUGGCGGUGAAAUUGGUUCCAAUGGAAAUACUUGUAAUAACGAUGUUAACGUUGUUCAAGAAACGUGGUCCCCUCAGUUUAAUGGAACGAGCUACAUUGAAUUACCACCACUCGAAGGCUUGGGGAAGGCGUUUCGAAUCGAAAUCUGGUUUUUAACGAACCGCUUUUCAGGGAUGCUCCUUUACACCGGCCAGUCUAAUAAAGCCAAGGGGGAUUUCAUAGCGAUUAACUUGGUUAAUGGAUACCUACAAUUUAGAUACAACUUGGGAAGCGGAAUCGCCAACAUCACGUCACCAGUACCUAUCACCAAAGGUCACUGGCACCGAGCCCGUGUCUCCCGAAUCGAUCGUCACGGCAGCUUACAGCUAGAUCACCAUCCAACACAGAAAGGAACUUCUGCUCCACCCCUGACUCAUCUGGAGUUGAAUCUUCCUUUGUUCAUUGGAUCACUGCCCGCAUACAUCCGACCGCACAAGAUGUCUGGCGUGACCAGCAGUUUCAUAGGCUCCGUGCAACAGGUCUUCCUGAAUGGGAACCCACUGUCUUUGUACAAUGGUGACACGGCGAGAUGCGGCAUAGUUCAGGAUGAGGAGAAAUUGCCUUGUGCUACCAGUGGGGUCACAAAGUAUGUGGGCCCGCCUUGCGGUAAUGGUCUUAGUCCCUGCAAGAACAACGGAACAUGUAUACCUCUAUUGAACGAAUAUAAAUGCAUAUGUCAAGAUGGCUACCAAGGCAGGAACUGUGAGGUGCAAAAUGUGGCAAUGCUCAGCGAUCGAUCUCCUAUUAAAUUUGAUGGAAACAAUUAUUUUUCCUAUAGGAGUAAAGGAAAUCGCAGCUUACGUACUAACAAAGAUGUGGGUGAAGGACCGUAUGAUGUAAGAUAACACUCGACGGACGAUACUAUAUAAAUUUAAACCAUAACACUAAACUGCCGUAUGCUUAGAUUAGGAAUCGCAAUGCCCGCGGUGUUAGAUACGAAAUUAAAUUCAGAACUUACAACGAGUCUGGUCUACUUUUGUGGCGGCGGAAGAUUGGAAUCCGGCCUCGGGAUUUCAUAGGUCUAGGACUGAGUGAGGGAAAACUGCAGCUUAUAUACACAGACACUGAUGUGAAGGAACUCAACUCGGCGAGCAACGAGGACUGGUUCCAGAGCAUUGAGUCGAAGGUCCGUGUGGAUGACGGGAUGUGGCACAUAGCCACUGUGAGGAGAAGAAAGCGACUGGCAAUGCUGCAGGUAGACAACAGACCGCCUGUCAGAGGGUACUCCCAGUCUAUGCUGGUACCUUCGAAAUCUAACCCCAAACUAUGGAUUGGGGGAUCACCAACUUUGCCACUUGGCCUGCCUCCGGCCCUCUACACUGGCUUGCACGGAUGUGUCGCAAGUGUGAAGGCGAGCGGGCGACACCUCGAUCUCACGACUCCGAUCCGACCCGCUUCGACAGUCAGACAUUGCGAAUAAACGCACGACUAAUCGCAACGGUGCAACGCGUCAAUUGCCAACAUCAAUGUGAAAAUUAUAAGUAUUAUUUUGAAGCUCUGUGUUACUUUUGAAAGUACCUGUCAAUGUACCUACCAAUACAUAUCCGAUCCGAACUUCUGUUUAAAUUGUAUAUUGUACGAUCAGAGGUUAGCAACCCACAGGGAUGUUAAAAUGAUCCGUAUUCUUUAAUAAAAAAAAGUUAAAGUAUUCUUUAUUACCAAAAGAAUAUGUUGCCAUAUGUUAUUUUGUAGUUUUAGGAUUAAAGGCUCAGAGCGCAUAAAUAUUCCAAGAUUCGAAAAACUUUGAAACUUAUAAUCUCUCGUAUAAUCGCGCCUUAUUUAAUAGUAAUAUACUAUCGUUGGAAAUCGGUGCUCGGAUAACACAUCAGAGGUAUAUUAUAAACAGAUGAAUUAUUGUGUGAAAGUACUGAAUAAAAAAAGACUCUCGAUAUUUUGUUGUUAUUACUAGCAAAAAUAUUAUAUGUAGAUAAUUAGAAUAGUAUAUAUCUUACGUGAAAAUGGUACAUAAUUCGAAAAAGUAUAAAAUAUUUAUCCAGGAGAUGUUGAUAGGCAAAGCCGGGUAUUUUUACGAGUGGUUCGAAUCGCGACGUGAAUCGCCAAUAAUUCUUUAUGAAGGUUGUUAAAAUUCGGAGAAUAUAUUUUCCGUGGUAUCGAUAGUGAAUUACUUGAAUAUAAUUUUUAUUCCAGUUUACAGUAAUAGAUCACAUGCUAAGUACAUACGAAUAGUAUGUAAGUACAUUUGCGAAUGCGGUUAUGACAGAUCAAAGAAUGGCUUUGAUAUGGCAAAAUUUCAGUGAAUGGCUGAAAGGCAAUCAGCAAAACAUAAAUUAACAUGAAAAACUGCAUUAUAAGAUUAUAUAUCUAUGAUUUAUUAAUACUAUUUCACAUGAGUUAUUAACGUAUUUUCAGUUUUUAGGGCAUAGCAACUGUGACGAUACAUGUCAAAGUUUAAUAAUUUAAUUUUCUCAAUGAAAUUAUGAAUACUAGUGUACUUAACAUUUGUAAUUACAUUUUAGUCAAAGUAAGCACUCGGUGCAAAAAAACAUUACACAACAAGACUCGUAUUUAAAUAAGAUCAUGGGUACAAUAAAAGUAUUUGAAGGAUUCACACCGUGGUGCGAUUCAUUCGGGAGGCAAUAUCCUAUAAUAACAUUCCAUUUUUAUUGUUAAAAGACAUCUGCUUUUAUGAAUUUAAUUUCCUGAAUCAAUGUUCCGGUGUCAAGUAAGAGUUCAUUAACGAUUUCAUUCCAUUUACAUCAUUCCUUAAUUCUAAGAUUGCUUUAUAUUCACUCAAGUAUACAAUCAUAAAGGUGCCAUAGUAUUUUAAAAUAGUUUUUAUUAGUUAUUUAGUUUUAUGUGUGUAUACUCAACGUUAAUUUAUUUAUUAGUAGCUUUUUUUAUACAUGUAUAGACCGGAAAAGAAUGCGGUUUUAGUGAAAGAAUACUCCCGUAGUAUGGGAUGUGCAAUGACAUAAAUAAUAAGAAACAAAGGACUUUAACUAGUUUUUCUUGUGAUAUAAUUUAGAAAUCAGCUUUUAACCUCAUAAAAUAAUACCCAUAAUAAUAAAAAACAUACACAUAAAGAACAUUUACGACAACUGAAAUAUUAGUAAUUACUGAUUUUAUUCUCUUCACUAAAAGCCGCAUUGAAAUUAGUUAUGAAAUUGCUCCAAAAUAUCAAAUUUCCGACGUUUUUAUUUCACUGAUACACGAAUUAAAGUAUCGUGUAUUCAAAAUUUAAUUUAUUAAGGCCAUUUUAAUCAUAAUUUUAAUUUAUAUACCAGCUCACUGGUGUGUAUUAUAUGUAUAUAGUUAAUUAAUUACCUGCACUUUACAACGGAUUAUGUUUAAUUUAGUUAAAUUCUCCUAGCUUACUUUGAUAUUUUAUUUUGACGUUACCCCAUUUGGGCAUCGAAAAAAUGGCAGCUGAGGUAUUCCACAAGGUGCUAUUUUAUUUGGUGCCCAAAGUGGAAUACUUAUCAUCUUUUUCGUCAUCACAAUAAUUAAGGAUUAUAAUAAUAUUGACAUAAAUGACUGUUGAUUUAUAAAUUUAAGGUGUAUGCGGGAAUAUUAUUCUGUGAGCAAGUACCUAUUAUCGAAUUUGAAAUUCGUUUUAAGUGUGUACAUUUUAACCAUCAAAAUAACGUUAUAGAUAUAUAUAGAAAAAUAUUGGUAAACUAGCCUAGAUGAAAUUUAGGUAAAUUAUGUUCAAGUUUUUAUAUGCUACUGCGCUCUGGAAAUACGCUAAGUUGUCUUUUCUACUUUUUGUCUAGUGAAGUCUUCAUGUAAAGUAUUAUAACUUAAUACUAAUUAAUAAAAAUAAAAAAACAAUGACAAUAUUAAGUAUAUAUCAACAUGGCAUUUUAGAAUUACUUUUUUCGUGUUAGAAUGCUUCGUGAUUAACGAAACAUAUCCCAGUUUUAGAUAAUAUUUUAGGUUGGUCCUCCCGCCGUUCAGUCGGAAUUUUAACGUCACAGUGUCCAUUGCAAAGUACGCUUCUGUAUGAUAUAAAAUGCUGUAUAGUUUACACAUAAACUUGAUAAAAAUUUCAUCCGAAUCAGCGGUGGAAGGGCGCUCGGCAAUAAAUUUCCCCACUCGUGGGUACAUAGUACGUAUCACUGGUUCUAACAUAUCUUCCAGUCCAAUUUGUUAUGCAAUGUGUGUUUUGAUGUAACUAUCUUAGUUUAUUGAAAACAAAAUGAUAAAUUAAAUGAGACUGCAAUCAGUAA